GACGAACGCUGGCGGCGUGCUUAACACAUGCAAGUCGAACGAAGGGGCGAACGGGUGAGUAACGCAUAAUCAACCUGCCCUUCAGAGGGGGACAACAGUUGGAAACGACUGCUUAUACCACAUAACGAAGUAGGGGAUUGCGUCUGAUUAGCUAGUUGGAGGGAUAGCGGCCCACCAAGCCGAUGAACAGUAACCGUUAUGCGAGGAUGAACGGCCGCCUUGGGAUUGAGACAGGGCCCAGACGCAUAUGCGAGACAGCAGUGGGGAAUCGUCCGCAGUGGACGAAAGUCUGACGGGGCAACGCCGCGUGAGUGAUGACGGCAUUCGGGUUGUAGAGCUCUGUUAUUCUGGACGCGGUACCGGAAUAGAAAGCCACGGCUAACUACGUGCCAGCAGCCGCGGUAAUAC
rnacentral:rRNA from 1 species